rnacentral:rRNA from 1 species
UACGAAGGGGGCUAGCGUUGUUCGGAAUCACUGGGCGUAAAGGGCGCGUAGGCGGCCGCUCAAGUCGGGGGUGAAAGCCUGUGGCUUAACCACAGAAUUGCCUUCGAUACUGUUUGGCUUGAGACCGGAAGAGGUGAGUGGAACUGCGAGUGUAGAGGUGAAAUUCGUAGAUAUUCGGAGGAACACCAGUGGCGAAGGCGGCUCACUGGUCCAUUACUGACGCUGAGGUGCGAAAGCGUGGGGAGCAAACAGG